rnacentral:rRNA from 1 species
GAAUAUUGGACAAUGGGGGGAACCCUGAUCCAGCCAUGCCGCGUGUGUGAAGAAGGCCUUUUGGUUGUAAAGCACUUUAAGCGAGGAGGAGGCUACUCGAGUUAAUACCUAGAGAUAGUGGACGUUACUCGCAGACUAAGCACCGGCUAACCCUGUUCCAGCAGCCGCGGUAAUACAGAGGUUGCAAGCGUUAAUCAGAUUUACUGUGCGUAAAGCGCGCGUAGGUGGCCAAUUAAGUCAAAUGUGAAAUCCCCGAGCUUAACUUGGGAAUUGCAUUCGAUACUGGUUGGCUAGAGUAUGGGAGAGGAUGGUAGAAUUCCAGGUGUAGCGGUGAAAUGCGUAGAGAUCUGGAGGAAUACCGAUGGCGAAGGCAGCCAUCUGGCCUAGUACUGACACUGAGGUGCGAAAGCAUGGGGAGCAAACA